UUCCUAACUUAUCUUUUAAAUUUGUCUUCCUAAAGAGAACAGAUCAAGAGAGUGAAAGACUCGGAUGACGUGCCCAUGGUGCUUGUUGGGAACAAGUGUGACCUGCCCACGAGAACAGUAGACACAAAACAGGCUCAAGAAUUAGCAAAAAGCUACGGAAUCCCCUUCAUAGAGACCUCUGCAAAAACGAGACAGGGCGUGGAAGAUGCUUUUUACACACUGGUGAGGGAGAUCCGGCAGUACCGGAUGAAGAAGCUCAACAGCAGCGAGGAUGGGAACCAAGGCUGCAUGGGAUUGUCCUGUGUUGUGAUGUGAAAAGAUGCCAGGAGAACGUGGUUCAGGUGCAGCUGCUGGACGAGUCUCGAUGCUCCUGUGCUGCAUCUCAUGCUGAUGCCCUGCAGUGUUUUGGUGCCAGUGGCAGACUCUGGGCACCAGUUAAUUAGCACAAGGUCCUUUUCCGUGCUCCAUCUGAAGAGAACAUCCGUGGCAUCUACCUCCCUGCUCAGCUCCCAGAGCAGCAGCAUCUCUGGAUGUACUGGGAUUCUUUUCUCACUGUGUUACCUGGGUUUGUCCAAGAAGAAAACCAGUCACAAAAGUGAACUAUAGAGACUAAAUGCUGUGAAAAAGAUGACACUUUACCUCUAGAAGUGCUGUGUGUCCCCUGUCUGUUGGAUUCCGUGCAGUGCUGUCAGAGGAGUGGCACAGAGUGAUGUCACCCGUGGUUGUGUCACCAGGAAUGCCCCUGUCCCCUGUCAGACGGGUGUCUGCUCUCUGGGCAGCAAAGUGCAACAUCUCCACUGUGCCAGGAGUGCCACCUGCCUGAUCCCUGAUUUCUGUAAUAAAGAGGAAAACCUUUCCUAAUUAAGUGCCUGUUUGCUAAGAAGAUUAGAAGUUGUCCCUUGGGUUGAGGAAAACCCCAAGGACUGGAAUUUCUUGGGAGCUCAUUGUCUUAAGCAGGCAAGUGUGGUGUGGGUGAUCUGUGCCUGACAGGACACUGCAGCAGGAAUUUGUAGGCUGGAAGGUCCAGCAGGCACUUGUGAGACUCCUGAACAAGGCAGGGGACACACUGCACCUGUGUUUUACUUUCUUUGUGGGUGGAACAGUUUAUACUCUGUCUUGUUUUCCUGCAGCAUUCAGAUCUCUUCCAAGCUGGACCAAAUCAUUCUGCUGCUCAUUUUUAACAUGAACUGCCAACACUUCUGGGCAGCUUCUCACUAGUUAAUCUGGUAACUGGAGGUUAGUUUGGACAGCUGUUCCUCAGCUCUCUGUGUAACUUGCAAAUUGUUUUAUUUUGAAUUAUUUUCUUACCACCAGACUGUAAAGAGUCUCUUCAAAAUGUCUCUAGACUGUGAAA